CGAACGCUGGCGGCGUGCCUAAUACAUGCAAGUCGUACGCUUCUUUUUCCACCGGAGCUUGCUCCACCGGAAAAAGAGGAGUGGCGAACGGGUGAGUAACACGUGGGUAACCUGCCCAUCAGAAGGGGAUAACACUUGGAAACAGGUGCUAAUACCGUAUAACAAUCGAAACCGCAUGGUUUUGAUUUGAAAGGCGCUUUCGGGUGUCGCUGAUGGAUGGACCCGCGGUGCAUUAGCUAGUUGGUGAGGUAACGGCUCACCAAGGCCACGAUGCAUAGCCGACCUGAGAGGGUGAUCGGCCACAUUGGGACUGAGACACGGCCCAAACUCCUACGGGAGGCAGCAGUAGGGAAUCUUCGGCAAUGGACGAAAGUCUGACCGAGCAACGCCGCGUGAGUGAAGAAGGUUUUCGGAUCGUAAAACUCUGUUGUUAGAGAAGAACAAGGAUGAGAGUAACUGUUCAUCCCUUGACGGUAUCUAACCAGAAAGCCACGGCUAACUACGUGCCAGCAGCCGCGGUAAUACGUAGGUGGCAAGCGUUGUCCGGAUUUAUUGGGCGUAAAGCGAGCGCAGGCGGUUUCUUAAGUCUGAUGUGAAAGCCCCCGGCUCAACCGGGGAGGGUCAUUGGAAACUGGGAGACUUGAGUGCAGAAGAGGAGAGUGGAAUUCCAUGUGUAGCGGUGAAAUGCGUAGAUAUAUGGAGGAACACCAGUGGCGAAGGCGGCUCUCUGGUACAGGAUUAGAUACCCUGGUAGUCCACGCCGUAAACGAUGAGUGCUAAGUGUUGGAGGGUUUCCGCCCUUCAGUGCUGCAGCUAACGCAUUAAGCACUCCGCCUGGGGAGUACGACCGCAAGGUUGAAACUCAAAGGAAUUGACGGGGGCCCGCACAAGCGGUGGAGCAUGUGGUUUAAUUCGAAGCAACGCGAAGAACCUUACCAGGUCUUGACAUCCUUUGACCACUCUAGAGAUAGAGCUUCCCCUUCGGGGGCAAAGUGACAGGUGGUGCAUGGUUGUCGUCAGCUCGUGUCGUGAGAUGUUGGGUUAAGUCCCGCAACGAGCGCAACCCUUAUUGUUAGUUGCCAUCAUUUAGUUGGGCACUCUAGCAAGACUGCCGGUGACAAACCGGAGGAAGGUGGGGAUGACGUCAAAUCAUCAUGCCCCUUAUGACCUGGGCUACACACGUGCUACAAUGGGAAGUACAACGAGUCGCGAAGUCGCGAGGCUAAGCUAAUCUCUUAAAGCUUCUCUCAGUUCGGAUUGUAGGCUGCAACUCGCCUACAUGAAGCCGGAAUCGCUAGUAAUCGCGGAUCAGCACGCCGCGGUGAAUACGUUCCCGGGCCUUGUACACACCGCCCGUCACACCACGAGAGUUUGUAACACCCGAAGUCGGUGAGGUAACCUUUUGGAGCCAGCCGCCUAAGGU
rnacentral:rRNA from 1 species